GGUAGCAUGGUCGCAUCGGUCUUAAGGCGCUGGUUUAAGGCACCAGUCAUUUCGAUGGGCGUGGGGUUCGAAUCCCACUGCUGCCA
rnacentral:tRNA from 1 species